UGAGGAAUAUUGGUCAAUGGGCGCAGGCCUGAACCAGCCAAGUAGCGUGAAGGAUGACUGCCCUAUGGGUUGUAAACUUCUUUUAUAAAGGAAUAAAGUCGGGUAUGUAUACCCGUUUGCAUGUACUUUAUGAAUAAGGAUCGGCUAACUCCGUGCCAGCAGCCGCGGUAAUACGGAGGAUCCGAGCGUUAUCCGGAUUUAUUGGGUUUAAAGGGAGCGUAGAUGGAUGUUUAAGUCAGUUGUGAAAGUUUGCGGCUCAACCGUAAAAUUGCAGUUGAUACUGGAUAUCUUGAGUGCAGUUGAGGCAGGCGGAAUUCGUGGUGUAGCGGUGAAAUGCUUAGAUAUCACGAAGAACUCCGAUUGCGAAGGCAGCUCACUAGACUGCAACUGACACUGAUGCUCGAAAGUGUGGGUAUCAAACAGGAUUAGAUACCCUGGUAGUCCACACAGUAAACGAUGAAUACUCGCUGUUUGCGAUAUACAGUAAGCGGCCAAGCGAAAGCAUUAAGUAUUCCACCUGGGGAGUACGCCGGCAACGGUGAAACUCAAAGGAAUUGACGGGGGCCCGCACAAGCGGAGGAACAUGUGGUUUAAUUCGAUGAUACGCGAGGAACCUUACCCGGGCUUAAAUUGCAUUUGAAUAAUCUGGAAACAGGCAAGCCGCAAGGCGUCUGUGAAGGUGCUGCAUGGUUGUCGUCAGCUCGUGCCGUGAGGUGUCGGCUUAAGUGCCAUAACGAGCGCAACCCUCGUGUCCAGUUACUAGCAGGUUAUGCUGAGGACUCUGGACAGACUGCCAUCGUAAGAUGUGAGGAAGGUGGGGAUGACGUCAAAUCAGCACGGCCCUUACGUCCGGGGCUACACACGUGUUACAAUGGGGGGUACAGCAGGCAGCUACCGGGCGACCGGAUGCCAAUCCCGAAAGCCUCUCUCAGUUCGGACUGGAGUCUGCAACCCGACUCCACGAAGCUGGAUUCGCUAGUAAUCGCGCAUCAGCCACGGCGCGGUGAAUACGUUCCC
rnacentral:rRNA from 1 species